AUAGAAUGCUUGUGAACACGAAUAGGCUUCAUUCAUCACUUUGCCAAUGUAUGUGGAUCUUAUGGUCAACACUUUGACAGUUGAUACCACUCUUCGGAAUGAGGGUGCCGUGCUGCAGCCAUUUCCUAGAGUAUUUAUGAGACGGUAGCGCAGCUGGAGAGGAGGCAUAUAGUCUAAGACUUACAUAAUUGUGUCUCAUGGAUCCGGAACAAAAUACACGUAUAGUUGAACCGUGAGUUGGGUUCACAUGUAGUUGUUAUCCAAUCUGUAAAUGCUUAAUCUAUCAAAUCAAUGGUUCCUUGUGUUAAUACAUCAUAUGUGAGAUAGAAAUCAUAGAACAUCGGUCUUAUUCGUCUAAGAAGACACGUAUUGCCACAUAAAACGGGCUUAGGCCUUAACUAGGCCCAAAAAACUUACACUCUUUCUUAAGGGCACAAUAGUAAUACACUCUCCAGUAAGGGUAAAAUGAUAUUUUUAGGGUGCAACCACCCUAUCUCUAUAAAUACAUAUUUCCACCCUUUAUUUGGGUAAGCCUUCAUUUCCACCAUAUUCAUACCUUAUCUCUAUUCU
rnacentral:lncRNA from 1 species